AGAGAACCAUCGAGUCAGUCUACCGCCCGAAUCAGCUGAUUUGUUUCCGUGAUAGUGUGACGGAGCGCAAAACUUUAACAUUUUUACUUAUUCUACGCUAACUACACGGUGCCAGCGAACCACAGUGCCACAGGAAGGUUAAAAAGGGUCAGAGAUUACGUGGAUGCCAUUUAUAAACCUCGGGAAGCCUUAAAUAACGUGAUAAAUUAAAAUAAAGUGUGGGGAGGAAGGGAACAUGGCGGGUGGAGGGGAGAAUUCACCCAGAAGUAACGACGUUAUUUUUCGUGUUUUCGUGGGAAUUACGAGUUUUCCAGAUUUCCAAGUGCCAGGAAUGGGAAGAUACAGUGCUAGUGAUCUCAUAGUGCCAUUCCUAGUGUCUGAAAAACCUUAGAUAAUGUGAUAAAUAUGAUAAAAUGAGAGAAAAGUGACCCUCCAUGUUUUUCUUCAGUGCCCACGAUCAGUUUUUUUUCUUCCAAUUUUAGUGUAAAUCACGUAUUUCCAGAGUGCCAGGAAAGGGAGAUCUGGUGCCAGUGAUCUCAUAGUGCCAUUCGUAACUCCUAGAAAGCUUAAUUAAGUGGAAACAGAAAAGUGAAGGGGGAAGAGAAAAAUCACCUUCCAUGUCUUCUUCAGUGCCCACGAUCAGUUAUUUAAACGAUUUUAGUGCCAAAUUACGUGUUCUCGGAGUGCCUCAGUGCCAGGAAAGGGAAGAUAAAGGUACCAGGGAUAUCAUGGUGCCAUUUCUAACGCAUGGAAAAGCUUGGAUAAGGUUUGAAAUAAGGAAAAAAUAAAGGAAAUGGCGAGAAUGCAAUUAUUAUUAUUAUUAUCAUUAUUAUUAUUAUUGCUAGAAAAAGCGUGUGAUAAUAAUUAAGUCGUUGUAGAGAAAGAAGUGGUCAUGCUGGAAGUAGCGAGAAAAUGAAUGAAAGUGUUGAAAAUGACGUUGAUAAUAAUGCUGGUUAGUUUAGAAAGGAGGAAUUAUUAUUAUUACGAGAAAAGUGAAGAUUCAUUACCGGUGUGUAAGGUAAAAAAGAAAUCUUUGGCUGUCUCGAGAAUAAGUAGAAGAAAAGAAAGAAGGAAUAUGCAAGGUUAAAGAAAAUGCAUAGAAAGUGAUGGUGGAAUAGUGAAAGAAAGUGAAUGAAGAUAAGUCAGAAAAACCUUUGAAAGUAGUGAGUGUGUGCAUGUGUUUGCGUGCGUGCGUGCGGUAUACACGUGUCUGCGGUUAUUAUGUAUGAUGAAUGAUCAAGUUAAUGUUAUCACCAAGUUUGUUAUCGAAAGAACAGGAGGAAGAAAAUUACAACAUCUACGUCAUCGCUUGGGUAAGAUGGAAGCAGCUGCCACGCCUACUGAGGGUGGUGGUGGUGAUGGUGGGCAUUGGGAUGUUGGCUGGCACUGCCCUGCUGUUGACGUCCUACUGGCCCGCUGCCUCCCCUACCCCUGCCCCCAGCCUUCUCAUCUGUCCCACAAGCUGAAAUCCAUUCACGGGAACCAGACGAAGAGGAGGAGGAGAAAAAGAAGAAUGAUGCUGAUGAAAAGGAGGAAGAGGUGGAGGAGGAGGAGGAGGAAGAGAAACAUCAUACCUCCAAGCUUCCCUCCCUC